GUGCUCACUUCAGGAGCACAUAUUCUAAAACUGGAAAGAUACAGGGAAGAUUAGCACAGUCCCUGUGCAAGAAUGGCAUGCAAAUUCAUGAAGGGUCCCAUAUUUAA
ensembl:snRNA U6 U6 spliceosomal RNA